AGAGUUUGAUCCUGGCUCAGAACGAACGCUGGCGGCAUGCCUAACACAUGCAAGUCGAACGGGAUCCGGACUUCGGUUCGGUGAGAGUGGCGGACGGGUGAGUAACGCGUGGGAACCUGCCCAGUGGUGGGGGGUAACUGCGGGAAACUGCAGCUAAUACCGCAUGAGCCCGAGAGGGGAAAGAUUUAUCGCCAUUGGAGGGGCCCGCGUUCGAUUAGGUAGUUGGUGAGGUAACGGCUCACCAAGCCGACGAUCGAUAGCUGGUCUGAGAGGAUGAUCAGCCACACUGGGACUGAGAUACGGCCCAGACUCCUACGGGAGGCAGCAGUGGGGAAUAUUGGACAAUGGGGGCAACCCUGAUCCAGCAAUGCCGCGUGAGUGAUGAAGGCCUUCGGGUUGUAAAGCUCUUUUGCCAGGGACGAUGAUGACGGUACCUGAGAAAUAGCCCCCCGAAUUCCCA
rnacentral:rRNA from 1 species